rnacentral:rRNA from 1 species
UACGUAGGGGGCAAGCGUUGUCCGGAUUCAUUGGGCGUAAAGAGCGUGUAGGCGGCCAGGUAGGUCGGUUGUGAAAACUGGAGGCUCAACCUUCAGAGGUCGACCGAAACCAUCUGGCUAGAGUCCGGGAGAGGAGAGUGGAAUUCCUGGUGUAGCGGUGAAAUGCGCAGAUAUCAGGAAGAACACCUGUGGCGAAAGCGGCUCUCUGGAACGGUACUGACGCUGAGACGCGAAAGCGUGGGGAGCGAACAGG